CACGUAGGGGCCAAGCGUUGUCCGGAUUUAUUGGGCGUAAAGAGCUCGUAGGCGGCUCGGUAAGUCGGGUGUGAAACCUCCAGGCUCAACCUGGAGACGCCACCUGAUACUGCUGUGGCUAGAGUCCGGUAGGGGAGCGUGGAAUUCCGUGGUGUAGCGGUGAAAUGCGCAGAUAAUCAGGAGGAACACCAGCGGCGAAGGCGGGCG
rnacentral:rRNA from 1 species